rnacentral:rRNA from 1 species
UAAUAAGUUGGACGUUACUUACAGAAAAAGCACCGGCUAACUCCGUGCCAGCAGCCGCGGUAAUACGGAGGGUGCGAGCGUUAAUCGGAAUUACCGGGCGUAAAGGGUGCGUAGGUUGUUUAUUAAGUUAUCUGUGAAAUACCUGGGCUCAACCUGGGCAGGUCAGAUGAUACUGAUAGACUCGAGUAUAGGAGAGGGUAGUGGAAUUUCCGGUGUAGCGGUGAAAUGCGUAGAGAUCGGAAGGAACACCAGUGGCGAAGGCGGCUACCUGGCCUAAUACUGACACUGAGGCACGAAAGCGUGGGGAGCAAACAGGAUUAGAUACCCUGGUAGUCCACGCCGUAA